UACGUAGGGUGCGAGCGUUGUCCGGAAUUACUGGGCGUAAAGGGCGCGCAGGCUGUUAUGCGAGUCUGCUGUGAAAUGUACCGGCUCAACCGGUGCCUUGCGGCGGAUACUGCAUAGCUUGAGUACUGGAGAGGGAAGUGGAAUUCCCGGUGUAGCGGUGAAAUGCGUAGAGAUCACACAGAAUAUCGAUUGCGAAGGCAGCUCACAAAGCCAAGAUUGACGCUGAGGCACGAAAGUGUGGGGGAU
rnacentral:rRNA from 1 species